GUUUAACAAUGUGCUUAGGUUUAAGAAAGAAAAGAAAAAGGGUAUAGAUGGUCAGAAAAGUAAAUAAUUUGCUGCAUACACCUUUAGUCCCAGCACUCUGGGCAGAGACAGGCAGGUCUCUGUGAGUUCAAGGCCAGCUGGUCUACGAAGCAAGUUCCAGGACAGGCUCCAAAGCUACAGAAAAACCCUGUCUUGAAAAACAAAAACAAAAAAGUAAAUUAAGAACAAUAAAGUAAAGUAUUUAAAGAGAGAAGUAAAGUAAUAUAUAAAAAAAGAAUAAGCCACAUAGAGAUGGGAAAUACACAGGGAGUCUGGGUCCUGUAUGUUGCUGUAUUAACCUUAAAUUUUUUUAUUUCUGCUAAGCAAAUUACAGCUGCUAAGAGACAUGGGAUUGAAAGAGGGACUGGUGAAAUAAGCCAGUCUAUAUACUUUGGGAAUGCCUUGACUUUAAAAUGGAAGUAAAAAAUGUAUUUGUCAAAUGGAAGUAAAAAAAAAAAAUGCUUUGGGGGAGAGGUUAUGCUUUUGUUUCCACGGGAAAUGAGAGGUUUCGAAUUCCUCCAGGAUUAAUAUCGAUCAGGUUUGAUGAGGGGGAGACCUGAAUCUUAACAGGUAUGAUAUCUGUAAGAGAAAAUGCUCACCACGCCCAUUUGGGGGCUGGACAAGGCGUCGCUGACCACGCCCACUUGGGCUUGGUCAGAGUGACUUAGCAAGGGUUUGAAUAUCAGGGAUGCAAUACACACACGUGGCUCUCUUUUUCCCUCUCCCACCUGGCUGAGCAAACGAGCAGGCAUCCAGUGUAAACCUGGUCACUGGCUCCAUUGGGGACUCCUAAAGAUGCCUUCACAACAGGAAGCAGUCUAGAAAACUUGAUGCCCACAUUCCCAAGAGGAUGUAGUCCCUGAGCGGGAGAGCACCCAUAUGAGGCUUGAAACCACAGCCUGAGCGAGGGCAGACGAGAUGCUGAGAUGGGCAGUGCCCCUGCGUCGUUGCUUCUUCCUGGGGAGACCUGGUUCCAUCUCCACCCUCCCACUCCUUGGGAACACGGGACACAGAGCCUGUGGACAUCCCAAGCCAUGCAUUCAAGCCCCAUCUACACUUCCACUAACUGCUAUUAUGUCUUACGAAUGCUAUCUGACCAAGUAAAGGAGGACUGGCAUCGUGCAUACGUUUAGGGUGGUCUGGUGGAUGUUUAUGUGUCUGUGUCUGUCCGGAGUACUUGUGGCGCUGCAGGUGGAGGGCCAGGCCUGCAUGUUCACAGCUGUCCACUAGGUGGCGCCCACGUUCCGCGGAGAGGCCACCAUGGAAGGAGCGUCCACUCUCAGGCUGGCUGAGGCUAUCCCCUCUGCUCCGAAAAAAAAAGAAAGGGAGAUUGUGGAAGGAGAUUGCUUAAUCUCUAAAAUCCCGGUUCCAUAAUACCAAGCCUCUCUUUAGACUUCAUGAGCACGAGAUGAGGUGCUUUUCUCUAGCUAAGCGGCCUAGAGCCACUCAGAGGCAAGGGUUUGGACUCUGACUUUUGUCCCUUCAGACAUCUGAAGCUUCCAGGAAGUAUGUGAGCUAAGGUACUCUUACCCACUGGGCUGUUUCCCUCACCCAUACCUUGGCCUCUCUACUCCAGCUUACAACUGACCUGGAUCAAAACUAAUUUGAAACCAAGGAGAAUCUGAGAGGGCACAACAUGAAACCUGGAUCCAUAAAUACAGUUGCAAGACCGCCUUAAUGAGUGAAUACACCUGUUCUUAGAGUCUCUCAAGACAGCUUGGAUGCCAUUUCCCCAGAGCCCAGAGCCCUCCUGCAGUACACACUUAGCAAUCUCUGGCUAAAGAUGGAGUGUCUUCCAACUGCAGAUUGGAGAUUGGCCUACCUCCUUGGGGCUCCCUGCAACCUGGCUCUUGAUAGAGUCCUCCUCCCAUCACUGCUAACCAGACAAAGCUAUAAACCCUGGGUGUGAUCUGGAGGCCACCUGAGAGUCUGGAACUGGGACAGGGAGGGUCCUGAAAAAGGCCCCAAGUCCCCUGUGACCCCUUUUGGUGGGGCUGAAAUGGCUCCUGCUGCCCAGAUUGCAGCCUGCUGCUGUUAGGCACGCGCCAAGGUCAAGGCUGUGCCUCUGCCUCAGAUGAAGCAAUAAUGGCUUGUAAUGGGUUGUAAACAGGUGAAGUUUGCCUGGAAGAUGCUCUUGCCACCAGGACAGGAGAAGAUCCUUUCUCUUUAACCCUCUCCUGGCUUCCAGUUGUGUCAGAGCUCUAGAUCUUGUACCUGGCCUCACCCACCUAGACCAAAAGAGCAGAGGGAACCGAGGCUCGGCAAGCUUGCGAACUGGCCCGGGGCUUCAGCAAGCAUGUCACCGGUGGAUGGGGGCUUCCUGAGGCAGAGGCUGUGCUGGCGUUGGAGCUGCUCGCACCAGUGCAAACAAGGCAACAGGAAGGCAGUUGGGAGCCAUGGAGGAUUCCAACCAUUGGCAGGCCUCAGGCACCAAGAGCAGCUGGAGAAGAGCUGAGUUCCCCUGGCAGCGGGGCAGAGACUCUGACUAGCAAAGAAGGGGUGAUCUCAUCCCCUCUCCUUCCUCUCCUUCCUCCCCUGUCCUGGGGCUGGCAGCUCCCCGUGAAGCCACUACGCACAUCCUUCAGCAUGACAUUGGAACAUCACCGGGGGAGUGGAGGGUAACGGAGCACCAUCCCAGGCGGUAAUGGCUCCAACGCCUAGAGGAAAAUGACAUAAAUAAUGUCCCAUUAGAGGCGCCGAGCUGCUCUGCCGAGUGCCUUGUUUUGCCCGCGACAUGAUGGUCUUCAUAAACAGACUCAUUUGUUUUCCAGCCCUUGUUUGGGCGAGGUGGGGGUGGGGUGCCGAGGAAGGUGACCCGGCAUCGAGGGCAGCAAUGGGGACCUAAUUGCUGCCCAGACUGCGGCCUGGUGCCGGCGCCCACCAUCCAUCUGCUCAGUCUUCGGAAAC
ensembl:lncRNA